UACGUAGGGUGCAAGCGUUGUCCGGAAUUAUUGGGCGUAAAGAGCUCGUAGGCGGUUUAUCGCGUCUGCUGUGAAAACUCGGGGCUUAACCCCGGGCCUGCAGUGGGUACGGGCAGACUAGAGUGCGGUAGGGGAGACUGGAAUUCCUGGUGUAGCGGUGAAAUGCGCAGAUAUCAGGAGGAACACCGGUGGCGAAGGCGGGUCUCUGGGCCGUAACUGACGCUGAGGAGCGAAAGCGUGGGGAGCGAACAGG
rnacentral:rRNA from 1 species